CUGGGGCUGAUGAGAUGAGUCAGCUGGCCAAGUGCGUGCUGUGGAGGCAGGAGGAGCAAAGCUUGGUCUCCAGCAUCCACGUUCAAAAGCUCAGUGUGAUGGCAAUUGGUCAGCCCAGGGCUGGAGACAGGUGAAGAAGACUCAGCCUAAUUGGUGGUGAUCUUGAAAGCAGUCCUUGUGGGCUAGGGGUCAAAUGGCUUGAGAGCUUCUGAAUGAGAGAAGACCUUCUCCUGCCCCCCUGCCCCGCCCUCCUUCCUCCCUGACCCACACUGCAGGACCUUCCACUUCAGCACCUGGAGCACACAGCCGGAAGAAACUGAGAUUCCCCAUCACUUAGACAGCUCGACAGCUCCCAGAGUGGAGGGUGCCUCUGCACCCACCAGACAUCACCUGGGUCAAGAGUGAGGACAUGGAGACUUUCCUGCCCACAGGCUCUCUUUCCCACCCUCCCCCACCUGACUCUGCGCCCUGACUCUGCAUCCUGGAGGAGAUCUGUGCUAACAACAUCAUAAUCACCCGAACCUGCGUGUCUUCCUGGGGAAGAAAACAUUUGUAUUGGUUCAGCUGACUCCAAGGAGGCUGUGACUGACACACAUUCUCCUCAGUGGCUUCAGAGGCGAUGACAUGCUUUUGUUUUUUAGAAGAUGACAAUAAAGGGGGAAAACAUGA